rnacentral:rRNA from 1 species
GGAAAAGGAUGUGGCGUUGCCCAGACAACUAGGAUGUUGGCUUAGAAGCAGCCAUCAUUUAAAGAGUGCGUAAUAGCUCACUAGUCGAGUGACACUGCGCCGAAAAUGUACCGGGGCUAAACAUAUUACCGAAGCUGUGGAUUGUCCUUUGGACAAUGGUAGGAGAGCGUUCUAAGGGCGUUGAAGCAUGAUCGCAAGGACAUGUGGAGCGCUUAGAAGUGAGAAUGCCGGUGUGAGUAGCGAAAGACGGGUGAGAAUCCCGUCCACCGAUUGACUAAGGUUUCCAGAGGAAGGCUCGUCCGCUCUGGGUUAGUCGGGUCCUAAGCUGAGGCCGAUAGGCGUAGGCGAUGGAUAACAGGUUGAUAUUCCUGUACCACCUAUAAUCGUUUUAAUCGAUGGGGGGACGCAGUAGGAUAGGCGAAGCGUACGAUUGGAUUGUACGUCCAAGCAGUAAGACUGAGUGUUAGGCAAAUCCGGCACUCUUAAGAUUGAGCUGUGAUGGGGAGAGGAAAUUGUUUCCUCGAGUCGUUGAUUUCACACUGCCGAGAAAAGCCUCUAGAUAGAUAACAGGUGCCCGUACCGCAAACCGACA